UUAUACUGAACCGGCAUGUCGCCAUUCUUCAGAGGUGCUGUUGCAGAAGAUUCAGAAGGUUCAGGGCCGGGCACACUCGCCAUGUUCCUCAACCAGGUCCUCGUGCGCGCUGUCCCCGUCACCUCAUCCUCCGCCCCGUCGCCGCCGUUCCUCCUCCGCCAGGUCUCCUUCUCCGCCGCAGUUCCAUCCCUCGACCUCGACAUCCUCUGCUGCAGGCUGUCCCGCCGCCACCGUCUCGCGUGCCUCCCCCAGUCCCCAGCCGACGCCCUCGUGGUCUACCAGAGAUGCCAGUCCCACGCGGCCGCCGAGGUGGCCUCCGAGAUCGCGGCUGCCUUCACGGGCGCCUCGGUUGGCGAGGAGGAGGAGGUGGUCUGUUCAGGCUCGCUGGUUGCAAAAGCGGUUGAGUGUGGACUUCGAUGUCUGAUGCUUGAGCGUGGGUGGAGCUUUGUCGGUGAGAGCAUAUACGUCCAGUCGACGUUUGCUGUGAUCGAGGAGAGAACUGAUCUGUGCGCGUUGAAUGUGGAAGUCAGAUCUGGACUAAAUGAUGAUUAUGAGUUUGUUGUCUCACCUGAUGCAUUUCGGUUCACUGCACUUAAGAUCUCAGAUGUUGCUAGUUCCAGUGUGAUAGAAACGUUUCAACAGAUUAAGGAAGUAAGUUUGGAUGGUUGUAACCUCCAGACAGCUUGUGCAAUUCUUCCAACAUUACAGGAAGGCCAUGUGAUUGGUUUUAGCGAAUUACCUCCUUCAGGGCAGAUCUUGGACAGCUUUACAGAGCUUUGCUCAGUUAAGCAUGGUGUGGAGACGAACUACAGUUAUCAUGCAGCAGUCAAACUGACACGCGGAGCUUCCUGUGAGAAGCAAUGGUUGCCUUCUCCAUUUGUCCUCCAAGGUCCGGGGCUUCAGCCUUCCCCAAAAUCUGUUAGAGCAUCAAAGGCAAUGUCUUCCAUGCGGUCCUUUAUAGAAUCGUUGAAAGCUUGGAAUUGCUUUGGUCAGAGUCAACUAGUAAUUAAGGAACAAUUAGUAGUUAACUGCACGGCGACUCUGCCUACUUGGGACAAAGCCACAAGUAAACUGGCAAUGCACACUGCAAGAACCGAAAAUUCAGAGGAUCUUCGUUUAGUUCAUCCAAGUUCUGUGACCAAAGACCAAUCAUUGGCUUUAGACUUCCGGACCCCAAAACCAGCUGUCUUUUCCUCUUCGGCUGCCAAAUUCUGCAAUACCAAAGUUGAGAUAGCUCAGUCUCUGGAUGAUGCUGGCACUGGCGAUGACACACAUUCCAUCAAGCAUGGUUGUCAAUCACAGUCUGUUGUCUUAACCAGUUCAUUCAAAUCGCAAAUAACAUUAUUGAAGCCUUCAUUCGGCAGAAGUAAACGAGCAGAUAAAAACAAAACGUGGUUUUCUUCUGAACAAUCUGAUGCUGAUAGUUCAAACAGAUCGAGUGAAACUAGCCUACCAAAAUCAUCACUUGGAAAUUUCCCUAAAGCAAGCCAUGCUAAUCCUGUUGAUUCAUCAAGUGCAAGUCUUCUGAAGCAAGUCAUUCAGACUUCUGGAAAUCCUAAAAGGAAGCAUGCAGAGAUUCUAGAAAACAAUGGUGAAGGAGGAACUGUAAAAGUGCACCAAAAGGAUUGUUCUGAAAAGAGGAACUUGGAUGCGAGGAAGAGUAAAGAUUAUGCGCCUAAUGUCCCGCAAGACAUAUCAUCAGUGCUAGAUAUUCAGAAGGAUGUGCUUAGAACAAAAGUAAAACCGACAAAAUCAAAGUCUAUGGUUGGCAAGAAUGAGAUAACUGCUGCAACAAAAUCGAAAAGAAAGCCAGAAGUUGUCAAAGACGAGCUAACCAAAACGUUUGGCAUUUUUUUUUCAGGCAAUAGAUCAUCAAAAGGAUGUUACUAAAAAGGUGACGAAGGCAAAGUCAGUAAUUGUUAAGGAUGAGUUAACUUCAACAACAAAGACAAAAACAAAGCCAGAUGUUGACAAGGACGAGUUAACUGCAAAGGUGAUAGAUCAUCAUAAGCGAGGUGAGUUGCGUCUGCUUACAGUUGCUGAUCUGAAGUGCUUUCUCAGUGCAAAAAAGGCAAAAGUUGGAGGUUCAAAGGAAGUGCUUAUCCAAAGAGCAUCUGAACUCCUUUCUUGACAUAGGACAGUACAACUUAUGGGAGCUACACGCUACACAUAGUCGCCUGCACCAACCAUGGAAACCGGGUUUCGCCCUACAUUCUCGCUGGUGCCACAACCGACCAUGGCUAGUAAAUCACAGAUAAUAUCUGAAUGACAAUAAGACAAUUGUUGCUCCUCUAGGAAUGAGGUAUGAUUGCAAUUAGCCACCGAUCCAAUUCAAGUCAUGAAUUUGGCAACCAGGAAACUGUAUGAAGAGCACUCGCGUGCUGCAAGGAGCCUCACGCGCGUCAGGAAGCCCAUCAUCAUGUCUCAUCUCACCAUAUACUCCGGCACACAAUCUCAACUUCGUACACACAGAGUACUCCCGCACUGAUCUCAUGCCUGCAAUGUCCAACAGUUUUGAUACGCACUAUCUUGAGAAAUUAGUGUUGGAUAAGUGCCCCCAACAACCAUAUAUACUAGUGUAGUGUGUGUGUGUGUGUGUGUGUGUAUGUGAUCAUGGUGUUCCCGUUCUGAAUCUUAAGAUUGAUAUUGCUACAUCAGAACGUGUUAUAAAUGUAAGAAUAGGAGGCAUCGGGAUAAAAGCUUGAUCAAAUCACUUCCAUACUCC